AGUUGAAAUAGAAAGAAACAAACAGAAGGAAAAGGGCCAAAGAAAAAUCACAAGAAACACAUAGACACAGAGGCACACACAGCCACACCCAUGGGAAUUGUAUAAAAACACAACACCAGAAGUCACAAUAUAUACUCAAAGGGCCUGUAAGGUUUAAAAGGAAAAAGAAAAAAAAAAAAAAAAAAGCCUUGACAACAUUCUCAGACACAGAACUCCCGAAGAUGCUCUUGAGUUCGUUUUCUUGUUGGCCAUCUACAUCUGGGCAUGUGCCCUACCUAUCCUCAAAAGCAGUGUUUAGAUCCAGAUAUCCACCAACAAAUGAAUAGAUUUAAAAAAAAGUGCAUUUACAUAAAGAAAGUUUACUAAGCUGUUAAAAACAAAUGAAAAUAUGAAAUUUGCAGGUAAAUGGAUGGAACUAGAAAAACAAAGUCAUCCCGAGUGAGGUAAUGUGUUCCCAGAAAGACAAACAUGGUGUGUAUUCAAAAUACUUAUAUGUGGAUGUAGAUGCUAGCUGUAAGGCCAAAUGAGACCCAACUGCAAUCCACAGAACCACUGAUUAGGUAAGAAAGGGACCGGGUGACAGGGAUAGAUCUCCCUAGGAAUGGAAAAUAAAAUAGAUAGUUAUAGAUGAAUGAGACAGGAACAGGCUGGAACUCGAGUAUCAAAAGGGGAGGGAGGGAAGAAGGGAACAAGAGAAGUGAGUGAUACGGGGAAGGAGAGCUGAAAUUAAGGAAGGAGUCAUACAGAAACCUGAUACAGUAGAAGCUUCCUGAGAUAUACACAUAUAUGAAGGUGCAAUAAAUGAAAUUGCCAAAUAACAGGGAAGACAGAGCCCCAACUCUUGUCACCAAAUGGAAAUUCCAGUACUUGGAAUGGCUUAUAUCUGAUUUAAUUGUUGACCCAAAAGGUUCCAUGGGAACCUCCAAACAACCCAGGUUAUUGCCAAGGUCACUUUUCGAAAAUUGACAGCAAGAAUCUAUUGUUGAAGACAAUACCUCCACUGUUGUUCACUUUACACAGAGAGAGCACGCUGGUGCCCACUUACAGCCUUGACCCUUAUGGGCCGGUGUUAUUGGGAGCAGAAUGCACUCUGCAUUCUACCUACCCAAGGAGAAAGGCUUCCCAACCAGCAAGUCUUUCCAGAUUGUCAGCAGAGCCCAGACCACACCUUAGCUCCACAGCCGCUUUGAAUUUAUGGAUGCAGUUAGCUAUGGUGUUUACUCUCCCUGCCCCUCUGUAUUGUUAACCUCCCCUCCCCCAAGCUGGACUCCCCUUGAAGGAGCUCUUUGUUUCCCCCUUAGUUGUAGCUUUUAUCAGACAGCAGUGGGGGUCAGAGGGUUUGAGUGGCAGGCUUCGCAGGCAGUCUGGUGACUGACUGUCUUGGUGGGUUUAAAGAAAACAGAGAGGGCUGAAGCACCCGGGGAGAUGCGUCCCCACGCCCCUGUAACUGAGAAACAAUACCACUCAAUAUUCCAACCGGCUGGGGCUGGAGCGAUGGCUCAGAAGUUCAGAAUGCUUGCUGCCCUUGCAGAGGACCUGAGUUUGGAGUCAGCACCUAAGUUGGGCAGCUCUCAACCACCUGUAAUUCCAGCUCCAGAGGAUCUGACACCCUCUUCUGGCCUCCUCAGGCACCUGCACUCACAUGCAC
rnacentral:lncRNA from 1 species